CUGGCCGGCGCUCCGCUCCCGGCGGCGCUGCCGCAGCGCAGCCCCGCUGUCCCGCAGCGCCCUGCGGAGCCGCGGGCCCUCCCGCAGCGGGCCGGGCGCGGCGAGCCAGGCCAGCGCACCGGCGCCGUAAACCAACCUCUAAGAAAUGGAAAGUUUCCCAAAGUCUCCUGUCUCUGACUGUGCUCUGCCACCCUCCUUGGAAUGAAAAAUCUGGUGCUAGUGGCUGGGAUUGUCAGGGCACUAUGAUGCUUUCUUCUCUACCCUGAAAUACAAGAGUUUGUGAAGAAGAGUGAGCACAUGGGAAAAGGUGGCGUGAAGAUUUGAACAACAAAAGCUCUAUUGCUUCCAUCAGACUCCACUGAAAAGACUUCAAGGGGCAAGAAAACUACAAGAAACUGUGGGGCUUACCUUAAUAUCACAAGAGUUUCAAGUCAGCCAGAAAGCUAAACUUCAGAGGACUCCUUGUGUCCCACUUUUCUCCCCUAAUCCAGAGGAUUACCCUAGUAUUAAUCUGUGGAAAGAAAGCUUAAAUGUGCAGUCCAUUCAAAGGCUGAAUACAAAAGGAUUGUAUGGCUAUCAUAUAUUUGGAAUAUGCAAAAUGGAAAAACCCAAACUCUCUGAAGCUGUCUCUGAAAUGUGACUGAGCUGGUAACUUGUCACGUAGCUGUUUGACAUGUAGGUCACUGAAAGUGACAAAUGAAUUAGACAUAUUUGUGUCCAUAACCUGCUUUGAGAUCUGUUGUGGCCUUUCCUCAUUAUGGGGAAACAAGGACAUCAUUGCAUCUGCAGCUGUCAGAGGCUUGUGUUACAAAGUCAGGAAAGGUCAGCAAGGUCUAACUAAAUACAUCUCUACUGGCCAGGAAAUGGACUGUGAUUUGCACCGCCUCUUUAGUGUUAAGCAUAUAAAUACAUGAGUUCAAGUACUAGAAAUACGCCUAGAAAAACUAGAUAGUAUACAAGUUUUCAACCUACUAUGCUCUUUUUGAAAUAGAUAAAUAGAUUUUCCCACCACUAUUACAAAUUUUAAGGACCACUCCCUGACAAAUCCCUGAAUUUGUUAAGUAUGGUGCAAAGUAAAGAGAAACACAGAAGAGCAGGUUAAAUAGAUGUUUAAUAGUGUUAAUAAAAUGGUUCUGUUCUGCCAGAGAUCAAUCUGAAAUGAAUUCCCUGGUUUCAGGGCAAUGCUCUCAGGCUUACAAUGCAAUAGUAGCAAAAUUCAAUUCAGAGCCUUCUUUUUAUGCAGUCAUAUAAUAAUAUAAACACAAGAAAAAAUCUCUUUCUUCUCCAUGCUGCACCCAAACUCUCUGAGAUAUAGUUUGACUCUGUUAGUCAAUGGUUCUUAUUUUUCUAGCUUUAAAGACCAGCUUAACAGAUUUAAAAGAUAAAAUGUUCUGAAUUAAGAGAGAUAGUUAACUUCAGAUCAUAGUUUAGUUCCUAUUUAUUAUGCCUUUUCCUCACAAUAAUAAGUGGGAACUUCUUACAAGGGAAGUAAGUCCCAGUCUCCAAAAGCUCUUCCAAAGGGUGUAAGGAUAUUUUACACCUCAUUUGCUCUUGUCCCCACAGACACUGGUUUUCAUCUCAAUGGUAUCACAGAAUCACAGAAUCAAUUAGCUUGGAAAAGAGUAUCAAUUACUCAUACAUCUCCCUCUGUCAUCUGACUGGGCACAGGACUAGUUUUCUGAAUUUGACUUAAAUUGAAUAUUAGUAGUAAAGUUGACCUGUAAGUAGACCUGUGGUACAGUCACAUGCUUGGAGGCUUUCUUGGAAUGUUCUUCAAGAGAUCAGUUUGCUAUAAACUGACUGAUGAACUUAUAUGUUGAGUGAUGUCCUUUUAUAUUUCACUACAAGUAUUAAUCAACGUGAAAUCAAUGCUCAGAUUGUUAUUGGCGUGUACUUUCUGGAGAUAUAAUUAGAGGGAGUAGAGCAUUCAGCUUCCACCUUGCUGGGAGCAGACAGUAAUUGCCUCUAAGUCAUGAUCUGAAAAUCCAAUGCUAAGUGAUAUUGAACCACACAAAAGCUCCUAUUACAGCAACAGUCACAAGCACCCAGGCUUGUGGACCUGAGGGAGAGCGCCACUACCCAAAUGUAUAAUUUUUGAAACCUUCUCUUCCAUUAAAUGAAAAAUCAAGCAGAAAUAUAGUGUUCCCCAACAUGUAUUUUGAGAAGAGAUUUCAAGGAAUGGCAUUCUAGAAUUCUGUGUUUAAAUUUCAGUAGCUUCCAGAUCAUAUAUACUCAGUCUAUAAAUGAAAAGCCUUUGGAUAAAACAGAUCUAAGUCAAACUGGACUGCUUGUUAUCUUCAGUGUACUAUAGGGCAAGCAAAAAGAAAAAAAAAAUUGAAAUUUUUUUUGAAAUUAUUAAAACGAUGGUCCUUUAAAGAACAAAAACUAUUUUUAGGGAUACAGCACAAAUGGAUUUUGAUGGUUUGAUCUUAAAUAUGCGUACCAGUACUCUUGCUUUCUGUACUACUGUAAGUCUCACUGAUCUCAGUAGUACGUGAUUGGUCCUGUGCAACUCUUUUCCCUCAUGUUUUAUUGAAAUAAUUGCAACCAGAAGAACUGUGUGAUUUUGAGUCUCUAUGGUAUGAAAAGAGAGCAGAUUUUCUACCAUAGCCCUUUACUUUUGCAGUGUGCUCUCUCACAUUUGAUCUGUAAGAACAGAUAAAAUCUAGACAUCUUACUGAACAUGUGUAAGCUGAUCUGCUGAAGUUUGUACACAUUUGGACAUGUUUUUGACAUGCAGCAAAAAGCAUAACCCAGAUACAUAAGCCAAUCUUACAUUUUAUUUUAAUUCUUCAUGACAACAAACAGGGACAUCUUCUCAAAUAAAGGUUAUCAGAUUGUAUUAAAAUUGGCCAAACAUUAUCUGCUCUCUUUGUCUAGAAAUGGUGAAACUAAUCUGAUUGAAAUGCAAAGCAAUCACCUCUGCUCCCAUCCAGAUGGAAGAUUUCAGCCCCAGUUAGUAUUUGAUAAAGUGGGUGAAAAUGAAAUUGUACUGUGGCAGUUGCCAGGUAACCUUGAGGUAGUGCCACCUAUAAUGCCAGCCAACUUGAGAAAUGACAUAUGUAUUACAGAUACAAUAUUGAUUUUAUGUAGUUACAUAUAAUUAAUAAUGAGGAAAUUGUACAUUUCAUUUACUCUGCCUUUUCUGAGCUUUGUGGAAGUUGAAAAGAUUAUUAUCUUCUUAAAUACCAAGGGUCUACUUUGAAUAAUUUCUUCAUUUGGGAACAAAUGAACAGUUGUUUCCCAGGCCAAGGGUGAGAGGAUCUUUACGCUACAGAAGAACAGAGCAUCAUUGACCCAGUAGUUAAUAGAGAUGUAGAUAUCAGAAUAAGAAGACUUAGUCAUGUUGCUUUAGCCAUGAUUUAUAAGCACAAAAUAUAUGAAAUAUAAAUAAUUUUUUAAAAUUAAACACUGACGUUCCAUUUGUUUCCAUUCAGCCUCGUGCAAGGUAUUUUAAGCUAAUUUACUGUUAUUGGCCAUGGAAUGAAAACACAUCUUCCUACCAACACUGUAGGGAAAAGCUUUCCCUUCAGAACUG